rnacentral:rRNA from 1 species
UACGAAGGGGGCUAGCGUUGUUCGGAAUUACUGGGCGUAAAGGGCGCGUAGGCGGUCCUGAUCGUCGGAUGUGAAAGGCCUGGGCUCAACCUGGGAACUGCAUCCGAUACGGCGGGACUGGAGUGUGGGAGAGGUUGGUGGAAUUCCCAGUGUAGAGGUGAAAUUCGUAGAUAUUGGGAAGAACACCGGUGGCGAAGGCGGCCAACUGGACCACGACUGACGCUGAGGCGCGAAAGCGUGGGGAGCAAACAGG